rnacentral:rRNA from 1 species
ACGAACGCUGGCGGCGUGCCUAAUACAUGCCAGUAGAACGCUGAAGGAGGAGCUUGCUUCUCUGGAUGAGUUGCGAACGGGUGAGUAACGCGUAGGUAACCUGCCUGGUAGCGGGGGAUAACUAUUGGAAACGAUAGCUAAUACCGCAUAAUAGUAGAUGUUGCAUGACAUUUGCUUAAAAGGUGCAAUUGCAUCACUACCAGAUGGACCUGCGUUGUAUUAGCUAGUUGGUGGGGUAACGGCUCACCAAGGCGACGAUACAUAGCCGACCUGAGAGGGUGAUCGGCCACACUGGGACUGAGACACGGCCCAGACUCCUACGGGAGGCAGCAGUAGGGAAUCUUCGGCAAUGGACGGAAGUCUGACCGAGCAACGCCGCGUGAGUGAAGAAGGGUUUCGGAUCGUAAAGCUCUGUUGUAAGAGAAGAACGAGUGUGAGAGUGGAAAGUUCACACUGUGACGGUAUCUUACCAGAAAGGGACGGCUAACUACGUG